rnacentral:rRNA from 1 species
AUGGGGAAGCAGCAGCAGGAGCAGAAGACGCUCCUCCGCGCCGCCCGCGACGGCAGCCUCCGCCUCCUCAAAAAGACGGCGCAGGGGCUGGCAUCGGGGGCGCAGGGCGAGGCGGCCGUGCUGGAGGCGGUGGCGGAUGACGACGGGAACCGCGCGCUGCACCUUGCGGCCAGGGAGGGGCGGGUGGAGAUUUGCAGGUACCUCGUCAAGGAUCUCCGCCUCGAUGUCACACCAGCAAUUCACCAUGGUGGCACCCCACUGUUCCUUUCUGCAUCUUCUGGGAGAGUUGCAGCGUCAAAAUAUCUUCUUGAUCAUGGGGCUGAUCCAACGUUAGCUGGUGACUUUGGGUCACCUCUCCAUGGUGCUGCCGGGCAUGGACACUGUGGAAUAGUAGAAUUGCUGCUCUCAAAAGGGAUCGAUGUGGAUUUGGAAUGUUUAUUUGGGACCCCAUUGCACGCGGCUGCUCUUCACAAGCAAGAUGACGUAGUGAAGAUUUUGUUAGAGCACCAUGCUGACCCUAAUAAGUUCUGCAAAGUUGGUGGUUAUACACCAUUGAGCAUGGCCAUACGUCCCACACCUUCAGUUUCAUUGGAAUGCGUGAAGCUACUCAUUAAGGCUGGUGCUGAUGUGAAUUUCAUUGACUCCGCUGGUGUUGCUUGUGUGAUGGUGGCGGCGGAGUAUGGCUUACCUGGCAUCAUGAAGUGCUUAUUAGAUGCUGGUGCUAACCCCAAUGUUACAAGCAGAUUUGGUGCAACUCCAAUUGAAGUUGCUGCCCUUAAAGACAGAAGGGAAAUUGUCGAAAUGUUAUUCCCUUUGACUUCUCCUAUUCCAACGUUGCCAGAAUGGAGUAUUGAUGGUAUCAUUUCUCAUGUGAAAUCUUUUGGUUUGGAGCCGUUGGAUGAACAUCAGUAUGAAAAGAAAAAAUCUGAGCUAAAAUUACAAGCUACAGAGGCUUUUAAGAGAAAUGACUAUUUGACUGCAGGACGGUUGUAUUCAGAUGCGAUGGAUCUCGACCCUAGUCCAGAUGGUCAUGCAAUCCUAUUGGCAAAUAGGAGUCUCUGCUCGCUGCACUUGGGAGACGGAGAAUAUGCUCUCUCUGAUGCUACAAUGUGCAGAAGGUUGCGGCCUCGUUGGCAAAAAGGCUGCUAUCGACAGGGGGCAGCUUUUAUGUUACUGAAGGACUACGAGAAAGCGCGCGAGGCUUUUGCAGAUGGCCUGAAGCUGGAUCCUACGAGUGUUGAAAUUGCAAGUGCUUUAAGGUAA